CCUACGGGAGGCAGCAGUGGGGGAUAUUGCACAAUGGGGGAAACCCUGAUGCAGCGACGCCGCGUGUGGGAAGACGGUCCUCUGGAUUGUAAACCACUGUCCCCAGGGACGAAGAUGAAGGUACCUGGGGCGGAAGCUCCGGCUAACUACGUGCCAGCAGCCGCGGUCAUACGUAGGGAGCAAGCGUUGUCCGGAAGUACUGGGUGUAAAGGGAGCGUAGGCGGGGUGGCAAGUUGGGUGUUACAUCUACCGGCUCAACUGGUAGUCGCACUCAAAACUGCUAUUCUUGAGUGAAGUAGAGGCAGGCGGAAUGCCUAGUGUAGCGGUGAAAUGCGUAGAUAUUAGGAGGAACACCAGUUGCGAAGGCGGCCUGCUGGGCUUUUACUGACGCUGAGGCUCGAAAGUGUGGGGAGCAAACAGGAUUAGAUACCCGGGUAGUC
rnacentral:rRNA from 1 species